GCCGACGUGGUGGAAUUGGUAGACACACCGUCUUGAGGGGGCGGCGGGGCGACCCGUGUCAGUUCGAAUCUGACCGUCGGCACCA
rnacentral:tRNA from 1 species